AGGCUCAUGUUUUCUAGUCCACAUUAAUAACGGAGCAGACUAAUAUUGGGAACAAACAUUUGCUCAUAGCUCCUUCCUUGCCAGUGGCAGAGGGAGGCUGGGCUCUGGCUGCUGUGGCCUCCAGGCCCAUCAGCUGCCACGCUUGUCAUCAGCUAUGCUUUUAGGAGUCUUCUGAAGCAUCAAAAUGAGGAAUGAGGGGAUCUAAGAGGAGGGAGGCAUGUGUUCUGUUUCCACAGUGUGGUUGAGUCUCUUUCCUUCCCCUGAGGCUUCUGUUCCCAGCCGAGUCAGCCCAGGGAUCUGAGAGCAUGUUUUAGAUCACAUAUCAAACGACCAAACUCCACAAUUCCUUGCAAGUAAACUUCCCUCUGGGGCAGAGCCGGACCACGGCUGUCUGCAUGAGCUGUGCCUCUCCCCUGAUGAACAGCCUUUGCUAUAGUCACCUCUAGAAAUUUUUUUUUCCCCUUUUACAGGAAACACACACAGUGUAAUAACCAUCUGGCCCCUUUAUUUCUCAGUGGAGCUGCGUGUGUUCAGCGCUGACCUCUCUGGCCUUGCAUUUGGCUGGAAGCAAUCCUCUUAUUAAAUCAGAAACCAAAGAGGACCCCUGCCCCUUACCCCUGACCCCAAGACAAGCCUGAGGCUGGCCUCAUCCUGACUUCAACAGACCGUCUGGCAUUUAAAUGCCAACAUCUCUCCAAAGGGCCGUGAUGCAGGCGAUAAGAGAAUAAAACUUCAUCAGCCAUAUGAGCUUCGGAUUGGGCCAAGCCUGGGAGUAACACAUAUGGCUUCUUCUGCUCAUGGUCCACAGGCUCUACUUCAGUCACGUGAUCACACCAAUCACAAGCAAGGCUGGCAAGUAUGGUCUGUGUCUGUGCCCAGAAGGGAGAAGGCCAAGUUUUAUGAGCACAUGGAAAACUGUGCAUUGGCAAGAUCUAGAUUUAAUAAGGCGAGAGAUUUAAUUUGGGGAGUUUAAUAACAUUGGAAAUGUGGAAGAUGAACCAAAUGACCUCUGAAGACACCUUUAGGCCUCAUGAUCCCAUUCAACUCCAAAUGUGGUUUUAUUAAAGAAUUGUCUACAGCAAGCUAAAACACAAAAACAUAACACAGAGACAUUCUGCUCUUUUAGGAAUCAAAUGCUGCUUUCACGAUACCAUUGCAUUUUCGUAUCUGAAGUGCCAAGAUAGCUCUCAUGAUUUAGAAUUUACAAUAGACUCUCUUAAAAAUAACAUUCCUGUACAAAUUAAUUCAGUGAGUCCUGUGAAUAGUUAGCUUCAAUGAGCUGGAAUAAAUGCUCACUAUAUAUUGGAUAACUCAGAAUUUUCAUCUAGCAUAAAGCUAAGAUGGCUUCAGAAGAAUAUAAGCUAAUUUCAAAUUUUUACUGUCAAAUUAUGGUUUAAGCUCUAACUCCAUGCAUUUCACCACCUCACGACUUUUAAUAGGUAUUUGGGGGAUUGCAAGCAAAGGAAAAAAAAGGUAUCUUUUCCUAAAAAUAUUGUACUCUCACCAGUGAAAUUUAGGCAAACAAAAUAAGGUAAAACAUUUGGAAAAAUAUCAACAUUUGAUUCUGAAAUUGAGAAUCAUACCAUGAUGGCUAUUAUUUGUAAUUUUUAAAAAUUAGAUUUUUUUUUAAGAUCAGCUUUAGAUUUACAGAAAAAAACUGAGCAGAUAGUACAGAGAACUCUCAUAGACCCCUCUUUUAUGCUCACUUCCAUUAUUAUCAUAUCUUGCAUAAGUGGGCACAUUUGUUAUAUAAGAAGAACAGAUACUAAUGUUGUUAACUAAAACCUAUAGCUUGCAUCAGGAGUUACUCUUUGUAUUGUGCAUUUAUAGUAUGUAAAGUACAUAAUUUUAUGUGUCUACUGUUACAAUAAUUGAAAGAGUAGUUUUAUUGCAGUCAUUGUAAUUUGCAAUUUCUUGGUGAGAUGAUGUGGACCAUCUUUUCAUGUGCCUAAUUGUCAUUGGCAAUCUUUCAUUUUUAAUUUUCUCUUCAAAUAUUUUGCCCAUGUUUAACUGAAUGAUCUGUUUUCUUAUUGCUGACUUUCAAGGAUGUGUUUUAUGUUUUGGAUACCAGUGCUUUAUUAUUAGAUAUAUAUUUUACAAAUCUUUUCUCCAAGUCUGUAGUUUGUCUUUUCUUUCUUUUUUUAAAAUAUUUUUUUUAGUUGUAGAUGGACACAAUGCUUUAUUUUGUUUAUUUAUUUUAUGUGGUGCUGGGGAUAGAACCUAAGGCCUCACACAUACUAGGCAAGUGCUCUACCACUGAGCUACAAUCCUGGCCCCUGUGGUUUGUCUUUUCAUUCUCUUAUAUGAGUAUUUCAUAGGUCAAGCGUUUUCUUACAUUAUUGAAGCUUAGCUGAUCCAUCAUUUAUUUUCUUCCAUGGAUUGUACUUCUGUUGUGUCAAAAAGUAAAACUUGAGGUUACUAAGAUUUUAUCCUGCUCUCCUCUAGUGGUUUUUCAGUUGUGAUUUUUAUACUUAGGUCUGUGAUUCAUCUUGAAUUAAUUUUUGUGGACAGAGAGAAGUCUAGUUUUAUGUUUUUGCACGUGGGCAUCACGUUAUUUCAGCACCAUUUUCUAAAAACCUUUUAUUUUUCCAUUAGAUUGUCUUUGUUCCUUUGUCAAAGAUGUGUUGAGUAUAUUUACAUGGAUCUAUUGGUGAGUUCUCUAUUUUGUCCUAUUGAUAUAUUUGUCUGUUCUUUCAUCAAAACAAUACUUUCCUAAUUACUGUUGUUUUAAAGUAAGUGUUGAGAACAGUCCUCCAACUCUGCUCUUUAAUGCUGUGUUUUUCUUUCUUUCUUUUGAUGGUGAGUUGGGUAUUUAGAGAUUAAUUUUGUCUUUAGUUUUCAGAGCACAUGUAAAAUUCUUCAGAUGUGUUUCAGAUCUGUGAAUGAAGUGCAGAUGCCUAACUGGGCUUUCAAACUCUAUCCCUCUCUCACUAUUUUCCAAAACAUCCGUCACUCCACCAGUACCUGGGCACUCCCUGCCCCUCUGACCCCACCCAGAGUCUCAUGCUUCUUCCUUGGGCAGGAUGUUCUGUAGGAUUGGAUGCCUCUUGGCCACAUUCACCUGGAGACAUUGUUGAGAGGCUCUGAGGACACACAACCUCCCUUAAAGCAAGGAUGGACCAUAUGACAAUUCCAGUCACUGAAGAAGAAGAAACCUGCUCUGAGGCUUCUGCAGUAGGUUUUGAUAAAAGAGAUUCCCAGGAUGCCAUAACACUAUGGAACCAAGGGAGUGGUAUAUGGUGCUCUACGACUGGACUCCAUCAGGGCCUGGAAUGGGGCCACACAUGCGCUGGCUUGAACGGAGUCAUUCUUUCCUGACAACUUUAUCAGCCCUCUACUUCUAAUCCACAUUGCCAGAUCUACUGGUCUUACUGCCCCGAUGCUUCUAUCAGUAGAUCUUCAAUAAAUUGCACUCUGUGUGAUCCUGGA